GGGGGCUAGUCCAAAACAAGACCUCUGAUUUCGGCUCAGAAAAUCGCGGUUUAACCCUCGACCCCCUC
rnacentral:tRNA from 1 species